AAAGAGCACGUAGGCGGACUGCCAAGCGUCUUGUGAAAUCCCCCGGCUCAACCGGGGAAUUGCUGGGCGAACUGGUAGUCUUGAGGCAAGUAGGGGCAGAUGGAACUCUUGGUGGAGCGGUGGAAUGCGUAGAUAUCAAGAGGAACGCCAGAGGCGAAGGCGAUCUGCUGGGCUUGACCUGACGCUGAGGUGCGAAAGCCAGGGGAGCAAACGGGAUUAGAUACCCCGGUAGUCCUGGCCAUAAACGAUGUCCACUAGAUCGGUGAACUUCUGACAGUGUGCCGGUCGAAACAAAAGCGUUAAGUGGACCGCCUGGGGAGUACGGUCGCAAGGCUAAAACUCAAAGGAAUUGACGGGGGCUCACACAAGCGGUGGAGCAUGUUGCUUAAUUCGAUGCAACGCGAAGAACCUUAUCCUGGGCUUGACAUGCUUGGAUGCCCAUCUGGAAACAGAGUAGGCUGCCCUUCGGGGUGAAACUUGCACAGGUGCUGCAUGGCUGUCGUCAGCUCGUGUCGUGAGAUGUUGGGUUAAGUCCCGUAACGAGCGAAACCCUUGUCGUUAGUUGCCAGCGCGUAAUGGCGGGGACUCUAGCGAGACUGCCGGUGUUAAACCGGAGGAAGGUGGGGAUGACGUCAAGUCCUCAUGGCCUUUAUGCCCAGGGCUGCAAACGUGCUACAAUGGCGAGGACAAACCGACGCAAAGCCGCGAGGUCGAGCAAAUCGGAGAAACCUUGCCCCAGUUCGGAUUGGAGUCUGCAACUCGACUCCAUGAAGUCGGAAUCGCUAG
rnacentral:rRNA from 1 species